rnacentral:misc_RNA from 1 species
UGUUAGCCUCUGUUGGCAGUC